AGAAUUUGAAUAACAGAAUCAUCAAAAUAGAAAUAAAAAUUCAGAAAAUGGAUUUGUUAAUCUGCUGUGGCUGUGUUUUAAUUUCUAUUGGUGGUUUUCAAAUAUUUCGGAAAAUGGAUUUCACGAUUUGUUAAUUGCUGUUGCCGUGUUGAAAUCAUCAGGCGAGUCUUCUCCCUUUCAAACCCUAACAGAAGCUAAACCCCAAUCAUCGCAGCUGAGCACGUGCUAAUAGUUCGAACCGCUAUCCAACCCUAAACCUCCAUCCGUUCCCUUCCAUCAAAGUUGUAUGCUCUUUGUCAUGCUUUCUUUUCCGCAAAGAUACUUUGGUUCUGCAGCGGUCGAAUGCACAAAUUUAGGAGAAUUAGUUCAAAGAUGACUUGUCGAGGCAUGGGGACUACUUUGUGAAUCCGAUUAAUCAGCUUCUUGGUGGUUAACAAGGAGACCAGAACAGACCAGACCCUAAGUCAAUAUAGCUUAUCGGAUACAGAUAUUGUCCUUUUUUAUCACAUGCCAUAACAGAAAGUAGCUAAUGCUCCUUCCUUAUUAUUUGAAAUGUUGAUUCUUGAACAUAUCAAAAGAAAUUGAAGACUAAUCUCUGAGGUCAUUUCGUUAAUUCAUUUCACCACCGACCCGACACUAGUAGCUUAAGGAGUCUGCUUUGCAUUUUGGUGGAAAGGCACAUGACACAAGAUUCAAAGCCUCUCCCAAUUUCUUGUAGUUCAACAUAGUGCAAGUCGUUGUCAACCUCAAGAAUCUAAUCAAAGUACCACUAGAGUCAGAGAGAGACAACAGUUAAGGAUCAAACAACCCUUUCAUUGUGUCUCUCAAAACAUCCAUUUCUUACGGCUUGUUUCACAUCCAUCCAUGGGGAACUGAGCAACCAUAUAUUGGAAUUGGAAUUCAAUCUCCAACAAUUAGACCUAUUUGCUAAUUUUACCAAAGAAGAAGAAACCUAGCUGAUUUUGCAGAAAGCAAGGAGGCGCAAGAGAAGCCAAGGUGUGUAAAAAUGCCUAGGAGACCACGGUAAAGCAUUAUACGGAAACCCCUGAAAGAUGUCGGAACUAACGCCGAAACUGAGGAUACUAUGCUAAUAGUACUCCAGCAUCCUCAGCUAAUAGUAUUCCAGCAUCCUGUAUUAAUGAACCAUUUCGUGCAUUGCGCAAUGAUAGACGGCUUGCGCCGUCAAGUACAAGUGAUAAUCCUCAAACUCCCACAGAAUGCACAGAGAUUCGGCAUCGCAAUGAAGUAGUCGAUAAACCUUUAGAGGAUGAAGAUUACGACCUUGAGGCAGAUGAAGUCGAAGGUUGUAAUGACGACACAAAACGCAAAGAUACAGAUUAUUAGAAAGUUACCGUCAUCGGUACUUUUUUCCUCCUAUUUUUGUUAUUAUUCAUUUUGAAAGUCCUUUCCUUCUAUUUUCUUUUUGUGUAACGAUUAUCGUGCAAUUUUUUUCCACACAUUUUUUAGAGUCUAUAGUACUUUCUCCGAAGAUCAUACUCUUAUUUAACAAAGAGUUGUAACCAAUUAGUUAGGUAGUUGGAUUAGUAAGUGGCUUCUUAGGGGGUUUGAGUGCGACUAUUCCCAAUUUUCCAUAUGUGAAGAGAGUCGGAAGAACGUGACCAAAGCUCAACGAACAUGCAUACAACAUGGUCAAGGUACAUCUUUUAGUUUCGACAUAUUAAGUCAAUUUAGUUAUCAAAUUUUUUUGAGUAAAAAUUCUGCGUAGGUAAAUUAUGUUGCUGGUUAAAUUUCCAUAUUUCGAAGAAAAAUAAAACAGAAAUUAUACAAAGAAUAGGAAAGAACUGGAAGGAUACAAGACAACUUGUGUCAUAAGUUUUACGAUGAAACAAAAAUUUUGGAGGAAAAUGGUAAGCAUCGCCUAGACAACUUGUGUCAUAAGUUUUACGAUGAAACAAAGACUCUGGAGGAAAAUGGUAAGCAUUACGCAUCAGGAAUAGAAGAAAAUAACUGGAAAUGGUUCCUUGAAUAUUGCUUGAAGGAACAGAGACUCUUGAACCAUUUGUUACCAUUGUUUCAAACGAUAUUCAAGGAACCAUUUCUGGUUAUUUUCUUCUAUUCCUGAUGGGCGAUGUUUACCAUUUUCCUCGAGUCUUGUUUCAUUGUAAAACUUAUGAAUCAAGUUGUGUCUUGUAUCCUUUCAGUUCUUUCCUGUCCUUUGUAUAAUUUUUCGUUUUAUUUUUCUUCGAAAUAUGGGAAUUUAACCAGCAAUAUAAUUUACCUAUGAAAAUGUUUUUACCCAAAAAAUUUUGAUAAUUAAAUUGGUUUAAUAUGUCGAAACUAAAAGAUGUACCUUAACCAUGUUGUAUGCAUGUUCUAUGUUAGCUUUGUUCACGUUCUUCUAACUCUAUUCACAUAUGAGAAACUUGGAAUAGUUUCCCAGAUGUCUGAUAAAUUGGUUGUAACUCUUUAUUAAAUAGGAGUAUGAUCUUUGUAUUUAGAGGAAGUGCUAUAGCCUCCUUCACGCUCAGCUUAGAUCCUUUUCUCACGCCAUUCUCUAAGAAAUGUAUAGAAAAAAAAUUGCAAGAUAAUCGUUGCACAAAAGGGAAAUAGAAGUAAAGGACUUUCAAAAUAAAUAAUAACAAAAGUAAGGAAAAAAGUAUACCGAUGACAGUAACUUUCUAAUAAUAGAUAUCUUUGCGUUUUGCGCCGUUGUUCUAACCUUCGACUUCUUGGUCAGCAAACAAGUCGUCAAUGUGGUCAUCAAACGACUCGAUUUCAUCCGCUUCUGGGUCGUAUUCUUCAACUUCUAAAGGUUUAUCGGUUACUUUAUCGUGAUGCCAAGUCUCUGUGCGUUCUGUGGGAGUUUGAGAGUUAUCACUUGUACUUACGUCUAUCAUUACGCGGUGCACGAAAUAAUUUAUUAAUACGGGAUGUUAGAGCACUAUUAGCUGAGGACAAAAAUAGAGUAGCUUUAUCACGUGGUUGCUCACGUGAUAUCUGAGUUCCUCUAGGCAUUGAUCUGGCCUUAAGGCAAUAUGAAAUGAAUUAGAAAGACAUUGAACAAAAAGAAUUAAUUUAGAAUAUUAAUUGAAUUCAUAAACUAGUAAAUUUCAAAAAAAAGUUACAAAAUGGCUCAAUGAUACAAUUAAAGGCUACAAAAUGGCUCAACGACGAUGAUUGAUAAGCUGUCUGCGGCCACGCGUUCGUCCUAGAAUUUUCUUCAAAUCUAUGCAAACAAAGUGGGUUGAACUAGCGUUGGGUAAUUGUUGGGUUCUGUCCAAUUGUCCGUGGGUAACGGCUGAAUAUAGGUGGAGUUGAUGUCAAAUUGGUGAAUUGGAACAAAGUUAUAGUGAUUGAGGCUUGUUGAGUUGAUUUGGAACCCUUGGGAGCUUGUGGAUAAUCUAUAAUGUGUUUUAUGGCUUGAGAGGAAAUUAACAAAUGUAUAGUUUUGGUUUCCUAUAGUUAAUCUAUAAUACGUGAAAACUUAGGCUAGUUAUCAUAAGAUAGAUUUGAAUGUUUUGAAUGGUUGUAUUUGAUGAAAUUAAUGUAUAUAUUUGUAUAGGUGAUGUUAAUAAUGAUUGGUGAGUAUAUGGAUGCUAUUGGUGGAAUUAUAUGUGAAAUUGUUUGAAUGAGUUAAUA